GGAAGCAAGAUAGUGAUAUGGAGCAAAACCCUAAAAAGACAACCUCAGUUCGGAUUGAAGGCUGAAAUUCGCCUUCAUGAAGCUGGAAUUGCUAGUAAUGGCAGGUCAGCAUACUGCCGUGAAUACGUUCCCGGGCCUUGUACACACCGCCCGUCACACCAUGGGAGUCGGAAAUGCCCGAAGUCAGUGACCCAACCGUAAGGAGGGAGCUGCCGAAGGUGGAGCCGGUAACUGGGGUGAAGUCGUAACAAGGUACC
rnacentral:rRNA from 1 species